rnacentral:rRNA from 1 species
CCUACGGGAGGCAGCAGUGGGGAAUAUUGCGCAAUGGGCGAAAGCCUGACGCAGCGACGCCGCGUGAGGGAUGAAGGUCUUCGGAUCGUAAACCUCUGUCAGCAGGGACGAACGGUCACUGUGCUAAUCAGCAGUGAAUUGACGGUAACUGCAAAGGAAGCAACGGCUAACUCCGUACAAGCAGCCGAGGUAAUACGGAGGGGGCGAGAGUUAAUCGGAAUUACUGGGCGUAAAGCGCUCGUAUGCGGUAUGUCAAGGCAAGGGUGAAAUCCCCGCGCUCAACGUGGGAACUGCCUUUGAAACUGGCAAACUUGAGUGUGUGAGAGGAUAGUGGAAGUCCAGGUGUAGGAGUGAAAUCCGUAGAUAUCUGGAGGAACAUCAGUGGCGAAGGCGACUAUCUGGCACAUAACUGACGCUGAGGAGCGAAAGCGUGGGUAGCAAACAGGAUUAGAUACCCUGGUAGUC